rnacentral:lncRNA from 1 species
AUGAACUGCGAGAGUUUGCCGCUAGAGGACACAGCGCCUUGCAACUCCUUUGCCAGAGCGGACUGGAAGCUCGCACUUUCAGAAAAUGCUGCUCUCUUGAGAGAGGGACCGGUCUGCGCCUCUCCUCUACCCCAGGGGCAAACCGCAACCCUAGACUGCGCCCGCGGAUCGCGCUCAGGAUGCGCAGGUGCAGAAAGCAUCAGACCCCGAACCGAGGCAAAGAAGCAGAAAGGUCAAGAGAACAAAUUUGCGAAGCAGCAGCCGAGUUUGGACGUUGGGAGAGCUGGCGUUGGAACUGGGCCGGCGGCUGCUUGGGAAUGGCUGUCCAGGAGGUGUGUGUGUAGGGAGGCAGGUGAUCUGUAGAGAAAGAGGUGCUUUGUGCAGCCUCCAAGAGAACCAGGGGGCCUGGCUUCCUGGGUGGGUGGGGUGGCCUGAGCGUCAAGCCCGGGCUUGGCGCGCUGUGAUGGGGUGAACUGGUGGGUUGCCACCCCUUCCAGGUACCUAUGUGCAGAGACGUUGGCAUCUCGGUCACCACAGCAGUUAAGGUAUAGCAAUCGAGGGGCUAAUUGACCAGCAUUAAGAGACCUAGUCCAGUAGGUCUUCACUCAAGAUAAGGCGGAGAGUAAGAUGCAGGAUAACCGAGGCUGGACGUUCACCCAGCACUUCUGGGAGCUAGGUACUGCCACACAGUAUCCUUAAACUCAGCAGCAAUAUUUGCAGUGGGAUUAUUUGCUCCCAGUUUACAAAUGUACAAAAUUGGAUGGGAGAUGGCCUCUCGACCAAUAAACUGGAAAACUGGGGACAAAGACCCAUGCUAGUCUUCCACCUUCAAUACACCACAUUUGGCAUGCAAUAUAAGGCCUUUAAACAGAAAAAGUAUAAAUAUGACUUCUUCCCACUCUCCCUUUUUUCGGUUUCUCAGCUCAGUUGAGGCGAAAGAUAACUGAAGAGCCACUCUGAAAUGCCCCCCUCUUUUCCUGGUGGUCCCCGCCUCCCGCCAGCCGGCUGGGGAAAGCCCUCGGGACCUCCCAGCUCCCUCCCAGCUCUCGGCGGAGGUGUGAGCGAUGUGUUGAUUAUUCAUAUUUUUGCCGAGCAUACAACUCCGCCGCGGCGGGCGCCGCCACAUUUCACACGUACACUUCACGUACACACAUGUACACGCGCUCACUCCGGCCCCGUCGCUCCGCACUCUGUGCGCAGGGGAUCGCAGCCCCCCAGCAGGCACCACCCUCCUCGGAUAGUGGAGGAGUGACAAAAGGCUCCCACUCAUCCUCCCCAGGUCCCCUUCUUCCUCCUGGCCCCCAAGAAACACACUCUUGGCUUCCAGAUCCAACUUCCUUCUCCAUAAGACACUUGUCUUCCCAACUCCCCCCUCCAGAGUUGGGAGUGGAGGAGUGCGGUAACAACUACAAAUACGGCACCAGCUAGAAUUUCCAUUUGGCACUAAGAUCUCUUCCUCCAACACACAAACAUCACUGUCACCUCCGCCCGCAUCAUACCCUUCAGGUGGCAAGAGAGAAAAAUCGAGAAAAAAAGAGCACUUGGGCGAAACGCAUGCUUUCAAGUUGUCUUCAAAAGCGUAAACAGGACUUUAACUGUGGAAUCUCCUCCAAUGCGACCCAAGGCCCAGGAACUCCGUCUCUGUCCGAUGGGGACCCCCUACACCCCCUCACCUCCAGGAACUAGACACUCAUUUGGGGGCUGGUGGGUCCAGGACGUGCAGGACGUGGCGCUGGCUGUGAAACCUCAGAACCCGCUGGGAACACAGAGCUAGUUCGCCGGGCUGAGCAGCUCCGUCCCACCCUUCAAGGGGCGGCUUACUUCCAUUUAUUCUGGUUUCCCGAAGGAGAGCCGAAGGGGGUCACAGGCUUGGCGGUCUCACGCGUGGGAGCGGUCCCAGCGGCAGGCUGCAAUUCGAGCGGGGUUUUGAGCAAUGCCGGGCGCUCCGUGUAGGGGGCGCUGGACUAAAGGCCACGAAGCCCUGGUAACUCCGCACUUCGGCUCUGACCCAGGACAAGCUGGGGCGCUCCAAUGGUCCCUACAGGGCCGGCUACGUGACCAAGGAGAAACUCUUCCAGCUUUGGUGUCGGCAGACCCGGGUUAGAGCCGUGCAUUUACCGGCGAGGUCUUGGGGAUUUGAUCUGUCUCUCUGAGCCUCCGUUUCCAAACCAGUGAAAUGGGAGUGUUAUUCCUCUGAUUCCCAGUUUCCUUAUGGAUAAAAUGGGGGAUAUUUAGGCCUCCAGAGCUACACUUGCUUUAGGGGUAAGAAAGUGGUUUAGAUGAGAGUAUCCGGCCCGUAGUAAGUGUUCAAGAAACUCUCGUUUGCCUUCAACGUCUGCAUCUGUAAAAUGAGCGUGAUGGUGUUUCUUGUACCUCCCUGGGUCUCGUGAGUCUCCUGUGAGGGUGGUUUUUCUCUCUGCCGGGCCUGCGGGCUUCUUGAGACCAGAAUUCGGACUCACUUGUCUUUACAGCUCUUUGGCCUGGCACGGGGCUGGCUCCCGCCGUGGGCGCCGCGUCAUUGGGUUUAGCGUGGAAUUAGAUCUAAGAAAGUGCUUUGGAGUCUGGUGCUCGCAGGUGUCAGAGGGCACGGACGGCAGUCAACUGGCCGGGCUUCCCGCGGAGGGAAUGCGACUCCCUAGGAGUUCGCUUUUGGGGGCUCUGCGCUGCCUUUUCGCGCCGCAGUUGACAGGUCGCAAGCCUGUCGCAAGGAGCCGAGUGUGGUUAGCUGUGGGGACCGCAGCAGACCGGCAGGCGUCAGGGAUCGCGGGAAUCGCCGGGGAGCUGAAGAAGAUCACAAAGAGCUCUGGAAAGGUCUUCCGGCUAGUGUGACAGACACCAGUUGACCGGUGUUCAGGGAGAGCCAGGAGCCUCUCUUCCGGCUCAGCACCCUCCGCGGGAGACGCGGCACCCCUGGAGCGCGGGGUCACCCUCUCCGCGGAGCUGAGCUCCUGAGCAGCGCUUCCCGGAGACGUCGGUGAAGGAAGCUGGGGGUCAGGGAAGCAAGGAGGCGGAAGAAGCCGGAGGGAGCAAGCCUGGAGUUCGCAGAAAAGGGGGGAAGAGGACAGAAGGAGGAGUGGGUCCCAAGAUUUUGUUUUCAGCAGGACUGGAGCCUGCUAGAAUCCCCCUUUUAAACUGCGCCUUUUACGCAAAGGCAGUGCAUGUGUAUUGCAGGGAAAAAAUAUAUAUGAAAACAAGAACAACCACGACAGAAUAAAUUCAUAACCAUCCCUAACCGCAUCAACAUCAGCUCUUGCUAAUAUUUCAGUGGGUUUCCUGCCAGUCUUUCUCCUAUGCAUAUCUUCAUAUUCUGAUUUGUAAUCUUUUGACUCACUUAUAACAUAUAUUUCCAUAUCAUUAAAUAUUUCCCUACGGUAACACUUAAUAUUGGACGUAGUAUUUCAUUAUCUGGAGAAGUCAUACCAUAAAUUGUUUAAUUGGUUUGCUGUUGUUGAAGUUAAAUUGUUUCUAAUCCUUCACCAUUAUAAGCAAUACUGUGAUGAACAUCUCUGUGGCUAUAGCUUUUCACAUAACUGUAAUUCUUUCCUUAAGAUAAAGUCCUUAAUGUAAAACUGCAAAUUCAAGACUAUGCCUGUUUUGAAGCCUAUAUACAGAUCAGCAGAUUGUCCUCUUAAGAGAUUAAAUUUACACUCUCUUAUGCCCCCAGUCCAACCUUCCUUAAUCCUUAAAUUACUUUCUUAUUUAAAACUCUGCCGAUAUUAUAUGUCUUUUGGUAUUUUUAUUUGCAUUUUAUCUCUCUUUCAUGAAUUUCCACUCGGGGAAACUAUUUUUUAUCCAUUUGUGGUCAUCAUACAUCUUUGGGGAGAUGCAAAUUCUUAUGUUAAUAAAGAUAUUGCAUUUUAAUGUAUCACAUAUAUUACAAAUAUUUCCCCAGUCUUUGUUUGCCUUUAAUUGUAUUUAUGGAAUUUUUUGGUGGUGGCUAUAGUUGUGUAUUUCCCUUAGAAUGUUUUCAUCUACAAAUAACAAAUUCAGUGGCCAACAGUGACUUGAGCAAUAAAGACACUUAAUUAUCUAAUAUAACAAGAAGUCUGGGGGCAGAUGGCCCCAGGUUAGGUGUAAUGCUCACUAGUGCCAUAAACUACCCCAUUUCCUUAGCUCUUCACCCCAUCAUCCUCUGCAUAAUGUUUUUAAUCUCAUGUUCACUAUCUCAUGGUGUUAGUAUAGUUGAUACAGAAGCAGACAUCAUAGCACAUAUUCAAGGCAGGAAGCAAGAAGAACAAGAGAUACCAGAAAAUUCUGUACCUUUGUGUAGUAAAGUAAAAGCUUUUCCAGAUACAGUCCUAUGUCACCUUGGCUAUAACUAAAUCACGUAUUGUAUCCAUAGUCAGAUGGGUAGCUGAGAAAGCAAGCACCCACUUUUCCACAGUCUUUCUGAUAGGCCUCAGAGAUGGGAGUUAGGAAUGGUCCUUGUAUUAGACAAACAAACCCACGAGAAAAAAAAAAAGGUGUCUUUAAUUGUAUGUGAUUUUAUCUGUUCAUCUUUCCCUUUAUAAUAUUUUCCUUUUGAGUUAUUCUCAGGUAAUCUUUCCCCAUUCUAAAAUAAUUUUAAUAUUGACCUCUAUUUUUUUAUGAUCUCUUUUUUUAAUUAAAAUUUUUUCCCUUAAUAACCAAAUUUGUUUCUGUGGUCUUGGUUCCACUUUCAUCAGUAUGCACCAACAUUUUGAAAGACUAAUUUAAAUAGAUUAGUUAUAAUGCAUCUAAAUAUUUAAUUUAUUCUGUCUUUCAUUCAAAAUGUAUUUGAUGUUUAUAUAUCAACUCUAUGCCAUCAACUCUAUUGUGGUUUAUGUUAUGAAAUAGAAGUCAAACUUCUGUCACCAAAUUGUUAUUUGUACUAAUAGCACUUAUUAAAUAAUCCACAAUUUCCCCCUAAAUGUGAAUUGUCACUAUAUAUAUAAAAUAAAUAUUGAGAUUUUUAAAUUCGAAUUGGAAAUUUGGGAUAUAUUUAGAAACUAGAAAAACCAUGUACUAUCCAUUUUCUUUUAUGCCCUACAGUAAAACUUUAUAGUAUUCUUCAUAUGGUUCUAGCAAAUUUUUAUUUAAAUUAUUGCUAGGUAGUUUGUGAAUAUAUUUUUUUCAAUUAUAGUUACUAACUGGUUAUUGCUGAAAAAAGGGAAAUUGUUUAUGAUGCAAUCAGUCAUCUUAUUUAUCUCUUAUUAGUUGUUGUAGUUUAACUGAUUCAGUUAGACUUCCCAAAUAAACAAUUAUAUUACCUACUUAUUGAUAUU